rnacentral:rRNA from 1 species
UACGGAGGGAGCUAGCGUUGUUCGGAAUUACUGGGCGUAAAGCGCACGUAGGCGGCUUUGUAAGUUAGAGGUGAAAGCCCGGGGCUCAACCCCGGAAUUGCCUUUAAGACUGCAUCGCUUGAAUCCAGGAGAGGUGAGUGGAAUUCCGAGUGUAGAGGUGAAAUUCGUAGAUAUUCGGAAGAACACCAGUGGCGAAGGCGGCUACACUGGACUGGUAUUGACGCUGAGGUGCGAAAGCGUGGGGAGCAAACAGG